GAUGAACGCUGGCGGCGUGCCUAAUACAUGCAAGUAGAACGCUGAAGGAGGAGCUUGCUCUUCUGGAUGAGUUGCGAACGGGUGAGUAACGCGUAGGUAACCUGCCUGGUAGCGGGGGAUAACUAUUGGAAACGAUAGCUAAUACCGCAUGACAACAGUUAUUGCAUGAUAACUGUUUAAAAGGGGCAACUGCUCCACUACCAGAUGGACCUGCGUUGUAUUAGCUAGUUGGUGAGGUAACGGCUCACCAAGGCGACGAUACAUAGCCGACCUGAGAGGGUGAUCGGCCACACUGGGACUGAGACACGGCCCAGACUCCUACGGGAGGCAGCAGUAGGGAAUCUUCGGCAAGGGACGGAAGUCUGACCGAGCAACGCCGCGUGAGUGAAGAAGGUUGUCGGAUCGUAAAGCUCUGUUGUAAGAGAAGAACGAGUGUGAGAGUGGAAAGUUCACACUGUGACGGUAUCUUACCAGAAAGGGACGGCUAACUACGUG
rnacentral:rRNA from 1 species